UAAACGCUGGCGGCGUGCUUAACACAUGCAAGUCGAACGGAGUAGUCCUCGGACGAUGAAGGCUUGCCCGGAGAGAGUCUUGGAAUACUUAGUGGCGGACGGGUGAGUAACGCGUGGGUAACCUGCCUCACACAGGGGGAUAACAGUUGGAAACGACUGUUAAUACCGCAUAAGCGCACAGUACCGCAUGGUACAGUGUGAAAAACUCCGGUGGUGUGAGAUGGACCCGCGUCUGAUUAGCUAGUUGGUGAGGUAACGGCCCACCAAGGCGACGAUCAGUAGCCGGCCUGAGAGGGUGUACGGCCACAUUGGGACUGAGACACGGCCCAAACUCCUACGGGAGGCAGCAGUGGGGAAUAUUGCACAAUGGGGGAAACCCUGAUGCAGCGACGCCGCCGUGAGUGAUGAAGUAUCUCGGUAUGUAAAGCUCUAUCAGCAGGGAAGAUAAUGACGGUACCUGACUAAGAAGCACCGGCUAAAUACGUGCCAGCAGCCGC
rnacentral:rRNA from 1 species